rnacentral:rRNA from 1 species
UACGUAGGGUGCGAGCGUUAAUCGGAAUUACUGGGCGUAAAGCGUGCGCAGGCGGUUUGUUAAGACAGGUGUGAAAUCCCCGGGCUUAACCUGGGAAUGGCGCUUGUAACUGGCAGGCUAGAGUGUGUCAGAGGGAGGUAGAAUUCCACGUGUAGCAGUGAAAUGCGUAGAGAUGUGGAGGAAUACCGAUGGCGAAGGCAGCCUCCUGGGAUAACACUGACGCUCAUGCACGAAAGCGUGGGGAGCAAACAGG